AGUGAACGCUGGCGGUAGGCCUAACACAUGCCAGUCGAACGGCAGCACAGUAAGAGCUUGCUCUUACGGGUGGCGAGUGGCGGACGGGUGAGGAAUACAUCGAAAUCUACUUUUUCGUGGGGGAUAACGUAGGGAAACUUACGCUAAUACCGCAUACGACCUACGGGUGAAAGCAGGGGAUCUUCGGACCUUGCGCGAUUGAAUGAGCCGAUGUCGGAUUAGCUAGUUGGCGGGGUAAAGGCCCACCAAGGCGACGAUCCGUAGCUGGUCUGAGAGGAUGAUCAGCCACACUGGAACUGAGACACGGUCCAGACUCCUACGGGAGGCAGCAGUGGGGAAUAUUGGACAAUGGGCGCAAGCCUGAUCCAGCCAUACCGCGUGGGUGAAGAAGGCCUUCGGGUUGUAAAGCCCUUUUGUUGGGAAAGAAAAGCAGCAGGUUAAUACCCCGCUGUUCUGACGGUACCCAAAGAAUAAGCACCGGCUAACUUCGUG
rnacentral:rRNA from 1 species